rnacentral:snoRNA from 1 species
GACCCCAUUAUCACUUUGCCACGCGGAUCGUCCGUGUCCUCAGUGGUCAUUCACGUGGGGGAGAGUAUUUCAUCCUUAAGCACCCCGGUCCAACUCCCGUUGGACUUUGGGCUGUAUUGAGGAGACAUCC